CUGUCUUUGAAGCCAGCACAACACACAUAACUAGUUAGCUGCUCGAGCUCAUCCAAACUCCAUGCGAUUGCGGCCUAGAUACAUGCAUCAAGACACAUAAUCAAGUUGGAUUAUUUUGCCAGUUUGAAAACUAAACUGAGAAACAAAGACUUUUUACUACAGAAAAACUACAAUUUUACAAGGUCCAUCAACUGGUACAGGUUUUGUGCUUUAAAUUUUAGUCAGUUGCAGAAAAUAUGACUGGAGGUGUAAGGCCUGAUUAUCGGCUUAUAUAGUAAGAAACAGAACUGGGAUAGAAAGCUCCAGUCAUACUAUUAGAUCUUCAUCGUACUAUCAGUAUGCUGGAAGAAAUUUAUGAAGCUUAAUGAAGAAGGAAGAGUUGAUUGACUAUUUUGGGCUACAUAUAAAAAACGAAAUGAAAGACUUUGUUACAUGCAAAAGACCUGUACAGUUGUAUAGCACCAGCUCUACCUCAUGCAGU